CCGUAACUAUAACGGUCCUAAGGUAGCGAAAUUCCUUGUCGGGUAAGUUCCGACCCGCACGAAAGGCGUAAUGAUUUGGGCACUGUCUCAACAGCCCGCCCGGCGAAAUUGUAGUACCGGUGAAGAUGCCGGUUACCCGCGACAAGACGGAAAGACCCCAUGGAGCUUUACUCUAGUUUGAUACUGGGAUUCGGUACUGCAUGUACAGGAUAGGUGGGAGGCUAGGAGAUGGUAACGCCAGUUGCCAUGGAGCCGCUGUUGGGAUACCACCCUUACCAUGUUGGAUUUCUAACCUGUGGCCGUGAACCGGUCAGGGGACAAUGUCAGGCGGGGAGUUUGACUGGGGCGGUCGCCUCCGAAAGGGUAUCGGAGGCGCUCAAAGGUUCCCUCAGAAUGGUUGGAAACCAUUUGAAGAGUGCAAAGGCAGAAGGGAGCUUGACUGCGACACCGACGGGUGGAGCAGGUACGAAAGUAGGACUUAGUGAUCCGGUGGUAUAAAGUGGGAUUGCCAUCGCUCAACGGAUAAAAGCUACCCUGGGGAUAACAGGCUUAUCACUCCCAAGAGUUCACAUCGACGGAGUGGUUUGGCACCUCGAUGUCGGCUCAUCGCAUCCUGGGGCUGUAGUAGGUCCCAAGGGUUGGGCUGUUCGCCCAUUAAAGCGGUACGCGAGCUGGGUUCAGAACGUCGUGAGACAGUUCGGUCCCUAUCUGUCGUGGGCGCAGGAUAUUUGAAAGGCGCUGUCCCUAGUACGAGAGGACCGGGAUGGACGAACCUCUGGUGCACCAGUUGUCACGCCAGUGGCACAGCUGGGCAGCUAUGUUCGGAUCGGAUAAACGCUGAAAGCAUCUAAGCGUGAAGCCGACCCAAAGAUAAGAUAUCCCACUGAGUCAAUCAGGUAAGACCCCUUGAAGACUACAAGGUUGAUAGGCACGAUGUGUAAGUGGAGUGAUCCAUUCAGCAAGAGUGUACUAAUAGAUCGAGGGCUUGACCAC
rnacentral:rRNA from 1 species